GCAAUGACUUGAUAAUUCAAAUAACUGCAUCAAUUCUUUUAGGUUCAAGAAAAUGAUACUUGGAGGGACACUCCGUGCAAGAACUUGGUUUUAUUCUGUCUUUAAUAAGCCUUACAAUGCGAGGAUUCGAAUUAAUAGGAAACCUAAAGUGGAUUUUAAAAAUCGAAUGACAAACCAAGUUAUUUUUAGAAAAAAAUCGUGUUUCAUUCUAAAUAUCAAGAGCCUCAAAAAUUCAAUAUCUUAUAAUUAUAUCAAAGCAAACACUCUACUUAAAAAUGCUUGACUAAAUCAAUUAUCGGUCGAAAAAGAAAUAGAUCCACAUUAAUAAAUUUCUAAAUAAAGAUAACUAAAAAGCCGUAUGCUUUUCUUUGAUUGUUCGUUUCCUAUUUUUACUGUUGCAAGCGGUACAUAUUUGAUGUAGAUAAAUAUAAAAUCGGAUUCUGUUCUGUGUUUGAUCUCAACUCUGAAUUUUGGUUUCACUAUAAUCAACCUUCUUAACUUCGCAUUUUAGCAGUAGGCACUGGAAUUUCUUGUUGGUAAAUUUCUUGUUGGCGAUGCUCGGGUAUUGGAUACAAAUGAUACCAUAUCUGGACUAGAUAAUGGAGAAAUCAAUUCUAACUGUCAGAGUGACUUUUGGAAAGUUGCUCUUAUAGGCUAUUGAAGUAGACUAUGUAUUGGAUUAUCCAUAAUAUAUUUCAUGAUUUCAAGUGGAAAACCUAUGUGGCUUGGAAGAAUAAUCAUAGAGAUGGAGCAGAAAUAAAUUAUGGGAAGGAGAAAGAAGCAGCGAAGGCAAAGGAAUUACACAAGAGAAAACAAUCACUUCUAGAUAAGUUGUAAGAAGGAUAAAUAAGCACUGUUUUCAAUAAUGUUUAAUCAGUUUUUGGACUUUUUCCUAAGAUUUCAACCAAUAAUAUUACAGUUAUUUCUUUAAAGAAAAUAUGUAUUAAG